AUGAAAGAAUACUUUGAUGCUCACAACACAAGUGGAAUUGACCGCUCGGAGAGAUCACUUCGGUCCCGAUGGUCCACAAUCAACUCGGAUUGUCAAAAGUGGGCGGCCGCACAAAAGUCAGUUGACAAGAUUAACCCAAGUGGCACAAAUGAGGAUGAUAGAGUAAGUGGCAUCUCAUAUAUGUUCAUCUCAUACUUGUUUUUGGUGUCCGAAGUGCUAACUUGUUUUGUUUUUCUUGUAGUUCAACAUUGCACAAAACUUGUUCAAAGAAGAGACGAGGAAAACCAAGAAGGGAAAGAUCAAGAAAGGAAGGUUAUUUACCUUGUCUCAUUGCUAUGA
rnacentral:rRNA from 1 species